AACGAGCGCUGGCGGCAGGCCUAACACAUGCAAGUCGAGCGAGGUAGCAAUACCUAGCGGCGGACGGGUGAGUAACGCGUGGGAACGUGCCCCUUGGUACGGAAUAGCCCCGGGAAACUGGGAGUAAUACCGUAUGAGCUCUACGGAGGAAAGAUUUAUCGCCAAGGGAUCGGCCCGCGUUGGAUUAGGUAGUUGGUGGGGUAAUGGCCUACCAAGCCGACGAUCCAUAGCUGGUUUGAGAGGAUGAUCAGCCACACUGGGACUGAGACUCGGCCCAGACUCCUACGGGAGGCAGCAGUGGGGAAUAUUGGACAAUGGGCGCAAGCCUGAUCCAGCCAUGCCGCGUGGGUGAUGAAGGCCCUAGGGUUGUAAAGCCCUUUCGGCGGGGAAGAUAAUGACGGUACCCGCAGAAGAAGCCCCGGCUAACUUCGUGCCAGCCGCCGCAGUAACAC
rnacentral:rRNA from 1 species